rnacentral:rRNA from 1 species
UAGUCCACGCCGUAAACGAUGGUUACUAGCUGUUUGGUUUUCGGACUGAGUGGCUAAGCGAAAGUGAUAAGUAACCCACCUGGGGAGUACGAUCGCAAGAUUGAAACUCAAAGGAAUUGACGGGGGCCCGCACAAGCGGUGGAGCAUGUGGUUUAAUUCGAUGAUACGCGAGGAACCUUACCUAGGCUUAAAUGUUAUAUGAGAACUUGUGAAAGCAAGCUUCCCCUGUGGUAUAUAAUAAGGUGCUGCAUGGCUGUCGUCAGCUCGUGCUGUGAGGUGUCGGGUUAAGUCCCAUAACGAGCGCAACCCCUAUCUUUAGUUACCAUCGAGUUAAGUCGGGGACUUUAAAGAAACUGCCCGUGUAAACGGAGAGGAAGGUGGGGACGACGUCAAGUCAUCACGGCCCUUACGUCUAGGGGCUACACACGUGCUACAAUGGUAGAUACAGAGUGCUGCUUCUUGGGUGACAAGUUUGCUAAUCACUAAAAUCUAUCUCAGUUCGGGAUUGAAGUCUGCAACUCGAC